AGGAAAAGGGAAGACAGGGAGAAAUAGGGAAAAAUAAACAAAAUAACCCGCCAAGCCCCAUCUCUGCGCCACAUGGCAGCAGCCCCGAGGAGCCUGGCGCUGCCUCCCCGCCGUGGCGGAGGGGCGGUCGGGGCAGGGCGGAGGGCGCAGGCCGCGGGGCGGGUGCCGCGGGCGGGCAGCGCCGCCGAGCGCUGGGGGGGCGCCAGGGGCCGGGAAUGCGCAGCGGCGGAGCCGGAGACAGCCCCGGGAGGGACCGGCCCGGCCCCGCGCCCCGAGCCUGAGGCGCGGCCGCCACCUGCUGUCGGCUGGAGGAAGCGCCGGGAAGGAGCGAGCCCGUCCGUGACGGGAAGCCGGGCUCGCCCGAGCGGCUGGACGGCCUCCUCCCUCGCACUCCGACAUUUCCUCUGCAAACCCUCUGAAAGGACCCGCUGGCUGAAGAGAAGCAAAAUUCACUUCUGACGCUUUGCUCGCCCCCGGCUGAUUUCAGGCUUAAAUUAAGGCACAAUCUGGCUACAAGGGAGCGCAUAUCUCCUGGGUGUCCCUGGGCAAGACAAGCCUGAAACACCCCAAAUGGAACCAACGAUCGGUCAGGAGCAGCUGGAACUGGACAGUGGAAUAGGCUAGGAACAGGGCAAACCCCACCUUUUUUUUUGCUAUUUUUUCCCCUUUACUUUGCUUUUGAUGUGCUAAUAAUACUCGUUUCGCAGUCAGAUCCCAGGCUGAUGCAGAUCACACCACAUCAUCGUAAUAUCCCCCUCACACCCUUUCUUUUAAACGCUGUAGUCACAGAGUGCUUUCUGCCAUUUCCAAGGAGAUGUCAAGGUGUUUCAAGCAGGGAUUUAUUUCUUCUCCACUGUGUUGGAGGUAAUAAAUUGAUGACGGACAAACAAUUAUCACCACUGCAGUGAAAGGGUAGAUAUACACUGUUAUGAGUGAGUGACUUCUGAGUAUGGGAAGACCCAAGACCAGGAGAGCAGUUUCUUACCUUUGAUAAGAGGUAAACACUGUUGCCUCUCACUGCUUUGUUCACAAGCAUGAGAGCCAGGAUACAGUCCUGUGGGUUUUAGAAAGGCAAAAUAAGGUUGGAGAGGAUGCUUACUUGGUUCGAAAAUAUUUAUUCCUCUGUACCUGUAUUGAUUACUUUUAGGUAUGAAUAGCAAUGGCAAUCUUAUCCUCCAAAUGUUCGUUCUAGUCAAUAACAAAAUUAAUUUGUAUACCAACAAAUCCGCAACUAUCCAGGAGGCAAAUGAGCUCAGUAUAUAAUAGAGGGGAGAGUUUUGGCAAAAGGGAGAGUGUAGAAAGAAGCCUGCUCAUAAGAAUUAUUGAUAAAAGAAUUACAUGUUUAUAGAAUCCAAUUCUCUGACUUGAAGCAUUUUAUAUGCUCAGUCCUCAGCGAUAACCACAACCAUUUCAACAAUUGCUGUUUGCUGAAGAAAAUUGAUUUUAAAAUCUCCCUGACUCAUUUACAAAUUACUAUUAUUUUUCUGCACUAAAGUAGCACCCCAGACACUGUGGCACAGAUUAGGGCUCCAACGGGGUAGGUGCCUUGUAAACUCAUGACACAUCACCAAGGAACUGGAUUUCUAAACCUCACAGCUCAAAAGAUUCAUGAGUAUGUAUUUGUGUGUGUGGUACUGAAUGACUGCACUAAAGUCAACACUUCGAUAAAAGCAUUUAUUUAUUAGAGCCUACACAGGCUCUUAAGUGCUGAAAGGUACCUUAAAAAAGGUUGCAUCCAUACAUAAAAGUCUCUAACUCACUCAAAACCCAAAUUCAGCUGGUGUUGCAGCCACUGUGGACUUUCUGAGCUCCUUAAAGGUGCAGAGAAGCUGGGGAAACUGGUUGAGUGCAAUUCACAGGUACUUUUGGCCUCUGUAUGUGCCAACCCAAAACUGAGGGCAAAGAGAGCAACACAGGAGGUUGCAGGAGUACAAUAGGAUGCAAAAACCUUUGAAAAACAUUCUUGCAUGGCAAAUGCUCACUCACACUGGUUCUGCUCAAGAGAUGCAGUGAACAGGCCCCUUCCCUCCUCACAAGCAGGAUUUGCAGGGUGAUGUGUUAGCCUCAGUGCUGGAGCUGUAGGAGGGAAGAACAACUAAAGAGCACAUGGUCCAAGAAGUGCAAGGAAAAAUACACUGGGGGACCUGCAAUUCAAAAACGUUGCCACCAAAACCUGCCAAUAAGGAAAAACAGAACACAAAGAAGCAGUAUUACACAGGAAACAUCUGACAGGAGCAGGAAAUUAUCACAGUUGCAGUGUCUGAAUAACAAGACUUACCUUCCUUUCAAGCUCAAUAUGGGCAAAAUGAAUGAAACCACAUUUCAAGGUCAAGUGAUCCCUUGCCACAGACUGUACCCACAGGGAAGAGAAAAGGAGUGUUUUGAGCAGUGCAAAACACAAAGUAGAAGCAAGUGACGUGGGGGAAAUCUGCCCUCAGACAAAAGCCUGUUCUGAGCCAAUGCACCUUAGGUUGAAACUCUGGGGGCACGUGGGUUCUGGAGCACUGGUGGUGCACUUUAUCCCCCAGCAGAAGCUGGGGAAUACGCACACAGAAUGCACAAGGACAAGGAAUGCAGCUGUGACCUGGAUGUGCCAGAGUAUCUGUGCAGUUGGUCCAUCUAUCACCAAAACAGGUGAAAUACAAGUCUUGAGCAAAGCAGAUGAACAAACAUGGCAAAAGCUGCUCUGGACUCUGACUCAAAGCACAAGGCAAUUAAGGGAAGUCUCCUGUGGCAAGCCACAUGCAGUACCCACAGCUCCAGUGCAUAUGAUCAGUCUGUAACAAGGAAAUACCAAAGAUACAUACAGCAAUGGGUAUCUCAAAGCAUCCUGACAAGCAUCUCACCAUUAUGAAAAACAACUGAUAGCAUCCUUCUCUCGGAUGCUAAAUAAUUUAAUGGACAAAUAUCCAGUCAUAACACUACCAGAUUUCACAGUAAUGCUGUUUUUUUUUCAAGUCUCAGCUUAUGGAAGCAUUAUGUGAUUAUGCAAAACACCCAGUUUUAUUCUGGUUUUGGUUUUAUUUUUACUUUAGUUUCUAUUCUCCACGUAUCUGUAAAGAAAAGCUCAAAAGCCAUGAAUGCUGAAGGGUCCUGCACUUUGGCCACAACAACCCCAUGCAGCACUACAGGCUGCGGCCAGAGUGGCUGGAGAGCAGCCAGGCAGAGAGGGACUUGGGGGAUCUGAUUGACAGGAAGCUGAACAUGAGCCAGCAGUGUGCCCAGGUGGCCAAGAAGGCCAAUGGCAUCCUGGCCUGUAUUAGGAAUAGUUAGACAUUAGAAAAAAGUUCUUUACAGACAGAGUGAUUGGACAUUGGAAUGGGCUGCCCAGGGAGGUGGUGGAUUCACUGUCCCUGGAGGUAUUUAAGAAGAGACUGGAUGUGGCACUUAGUGCCACACUGUAGUUGACAAGGUGGUGUUAGGUCAAAGGUUGGACUAAGGGAUCUCAAAGGUCUUUGCCAACCUAGUUGAUUCUGUGAUUCUGUGACAAAUUCAAACUCAUAUAUAUAAUAUAUGCAUAUAUACAUAUACAUAUAUAUAUAUAGACACAUGUAUGUUUAUAUAUAUAUAUGUUAUAACCCCACUUCAUGGUUUGACAUAGAAUUGUUUAGAACCCAAGGCCUUGGCAAUACUUGAUCAUCAAUGUCCAGGCAUGGCCUUUGGGGAGAAAAACAUAUGGAGUCAUAUUGCUGAACAUGAAGGUAUUACCAGUCACAAGAGUGACAACAGCAAAUUCUUGGCUGCUAGAAACCGACAUAGUUCCACAGCUUCAUAGCUCAGCAGCUGGGUCAUGAACUAAAUCCUGAAAUCAGGGAAAAUAGAAAAUUCUGGGAAUGCAGGCUUUUCAGCUUGCUUCACACCCCUCCAUCUUUUGUUAAACUUUUUUUUUUUUUUUUUUUUUUUUGGCAUUUGCACAGAAAACAUGUCAGUGUGUCUUUUACAGCACUCCAAGGAAGAAAAUUCAAGCUGCUCUGCCUGAUAUUAAAAGAUGUGGCAUUUGGUAAUAUUUGGAUGCAAUCCAACUGCUAAACUGCUGAACUGCAGUUUGUAACACAAGCACACCAUGAAGGGAAAGCAGCAAAAGACAGAUGAAAAUGAAAUUUAUCAACAGGCAUAAAAGAACAUGUGAGCAGAAAGCAGCAGGAGGGAUAUCCAGUGUGUGAGAACGGAGAGAUGGAUACCAAGCACAUUAGCAGCAGUAUUAGUUUAUUUAAACACAGCCACAUAAUGAAGCUGAGCACUGGCAUCAUGAUAAAUUGUAGCAGAGGAAUGAGCUUUGGAGUAAGUGAGUGGAAGCACAGCAUGUGGCCAAAUGUGUGAUGGCAUGUGAAAUGAGAGUGACCCACCAGGAAUAUGUCAGAUGCUGAAGACCAUUGCUGGCCACUUGCUCAAAUGACAAAAACAGAAGUUGCAAUAUGUAGGAUUAAUACACUUUAGAAGAGACAAAUUCUCAUGCUAUUAAAAAGAUCACAGUCUGGUCACAAAAGACUCAUAGCUCUGUAACCCCCAAGUAUUUAGUUGUUCAAAAAGUCCAUCUGUGUUACACGCAUUCGAGUGUUAAUAAUUAAGGCUGGGAUAUCAACCUCAAGCUCUGAAUUUUCCCAGAUACUGUCAGUUUCAGUCUGACUCUUGCCAUCACUAUAGCAUGUUUUUGCUUUUAAAAGGAAUGGUAAGGUCCUAGGAAUAUGACAUCAGCCUUCCUAAUGAGAGAACCACAGAAAAUAGGGCUGGAAGGGACCCUGCAAGGUCAUCUAGUCCAGCCCUCUGCCCUAAGGCAGGAUCAAUUAUACCCAAAUCAUUCCUGACAGAAGUUUGUCUAACCUGUUCUUAAAAAUGUCUGGCAAUGAAGAUCCACAACUCCCCAGGCAAUCUGUUUCACUAUUUCACUACUGUUACAGAUGUAAAGCCUGUCGUAAUGUCUUCCUUAAAUCUCCUCUGCCACAAUUUAAAUCCAUUAGUUCUUUCUGUAUUCCCAGUGGACACAGAGAACAAUUUAUUACUUUCCUCUUUGCAGCAAGCUUUACAUGUCUGAAGACUGGUAGCACAGUCUUAUGCCUUUCCCUGCAUCCCCUUUCUCAAGUUCUUUCAAUCUGUCUUCACAGGUCAUGCUUUCUGCUGGAUUUCCAACUGGACUGCAUCUUUCUUUUUUGAAGCAUAGUGCACAAAAGUAGACACAUUACUCCAGCUAAGGUUUGAAGCAGAGAAUAAAUAGGGUGAGAUUAUUUCACGUUUCUUCUCCAUGACAUUAUUUUUAAAGCUGAAAUGGCACUAGCUUUCCUCACACUGUGGCCUGUGUUCAGUGUUUAAUUCCCAGCAGUCACAAAUCCCCUCUUGCAGAAUAAUGACCACUGAUUCAGUUGCUGCCAUCAUUUGUGCAUGUUGUUGGCUAUAGGAAUUCACUGGCAAGAUCCUGGAGUGUUCAACACUUAACUUGUUUGAAUCUAAACCCACUCACUUCAGACUACCUUGUUUAGUAAGGAGCUCAUGUAUCUGUCAGUGUCAUUUCAUUGAGAGCACUGCAGUAACAUCAGAAAAUAAUUUAGUCCAAGUUGCCCAUCCAGCAUAGAGGAAUUCAGCAAUGGUUCUUACCAUUAGUACCAUAUUUAGUAUAUUCUGAAAUAAGCUGAAACACAAUGAUGUCAGUUUAGAGGAGUUGAAGCAGCUUAAAAUACAGAAAAUUACUCAUGAAAUGUUACAGCUCAGAGCUGCCAAAUUAGUUUUUCACCUGAAAUAGAAUUACAAGUUACCCAUCCACUGUUUAAAAGCAUAUUAAGCAUUUAAAUGAAAUUUUUUAAUUGCUCUGAAUUUGACCCUCAUCUAAUUUUGAUUUUUACCAAGUAUUUUAAGCAAUUUGGAAUGAUUUAAAAUUUAUAUUGGAACACUAAGUAGCUCAAAGGAACAAGUCUUCUAACUCCCAUCAAACUCAGAUGCAUAAUUCCCACAGGUGCCUUUGAAAAUUCCUAUUUUCAGUGUUGUUGUCCAUUUGAUAAACAGCUCAAAAAUCCUUGGCUUUUUACACAAACAUCAUCUGCCUGAAAUAAUUUAUGAAAAUCAUAAAAUUUAUUUAAGCUCUUCUCAGUGCUCCAUAAAUUUUAUGCAGCCCUUAAAUUAUAAAGCUGCUGCUGCUGCUGUGGCACUCAUCAGAACAAUGCUUAAUCUCUUCUCUCAAGAUAGCUGGCAUGUCAGAGGAGAAAAGAAGGGACUCGGGCAGCUGAAUUGUUUGUUUCAAUUUAACAGGGCAGAAUAAAACAGCCUAGAUGCCAGGGCUCUAGUCCCAGUGAGACUGUGUGCAUCAAGGUUUUACUGCAAAAAUAGUUGUUCUAACCUUCCCCUGCUUUUCCUUGGUUUUAAAUCAGAAAAUAACUUUCAUUGAUUUCACAGGGACUCUUUUUGCACACAUCAUCAGGUUUGUGAUACUUGAAAUGUUCCCUGCCUAAUUUAUAAUCAGUGUGUUCUCAUUCUCAGAUAUACAACAACAAAAUUUCGCAUCUGUACUAGGACUGUUUUAUUUUUUUUAAUCUCUACCUUCUUUAGCAAAGAUUAAAAACAUUUUUGGAGCUGAAUAUAACGCAAGGUGAAAAUAAAGUCCUAGCAUGGAGAAACUAUGUUUGAAUGGACUCCUUUACUCUUAAAUUUGGCCUGGUCACAUAUUAAAACUGCAGACUCCUUUAUUAAGAUUUUGGCUUGUGCCAGCUAACUGAGAUUAAGAGUACAUCCGUUUUUCUGGUGAAGUCUCAUCUGGAGUAGCCCAGUUUUCAAAGGCAGAGUGGCCUGGACAUUAUUAGACUCAAUCUUUUCAGUGUUUCAUCCUGGGGAUCCAAAGUCAGCAGCUGCUAUAGUCUUUUUCUUAGCACUGACUUUCCCACUCUUUCCACUCUCCUGGUAACAUUCCCUAGUCUGUCAUUCAGAGAGUCGUCAUCUUUAAGGGAUGCAUUUCAACCUUUCUCUACUCACGCUUUUCUCCCACGUAACCCUCUGAGUUUCAUCCUUCCUCAUGUGCUGUUUUUGCUCAGAGGUAUACAAACCAUCUGUGCCUCUAAUACAAUGUUCUUAAAUAGCCUCCAGGCAGAUCUCUAUGGUUUUUAAGUACUUCUCUUUGCCCUUCAGCCUGCUGUUAACCAUUUUCCUCAUAGUUUUAUAAUCUGCUCUUUUAAAGUUCUUUGUUACUGUGCUGUCCCUAAGGGAACAACUCUUUCAUGAUAUCAAAACUAAAAGUGUGCAGUGAUCAGCGUUACCCCACAGAGGUUUGACAACACCUUCCUCUAAUAACUUCUGCCUCUUACAAGGUAGUUCCCUCUUGCCCAUGGCCUUAACUAAUCAGGCAUUGCACUGUGGAUGGCCACAAGAGUCAAGGAAAAGGAAUCCUUUGCCAUAUGGAUUGGAAUGGCACCAAAGCCACUUUACAUCUCCUGAUAAGAGGAAAAAACCUGCUUUUGCCAGCUGUUGCUUUACCUCCAACAAAAAAUAAGAAGUGAUAAUGGGGUAUACACUAUAGAAUUCAAUCUUGUAUUAUUUUCCUGACUGGUCCCAUUCAUUUUCCCCAGGAGGAAGUUACUUUCCAGGGGCUGGUUCUGAGAUUUUACAGGUUCUCAAAAUCUUGAGGAAGCCUGCAGGAGAUUGCAGUCACUCAUGUGUGCUGUGUCUCCAGUGGUUUUAAUGGCUACCAUUGUGACUGCUGCCUGCGGAAUGCUCUCAAGGAAGUGGGGCAGAAGGGGAGGUCUACGACAUGAAAAAUGUCUCUGCAGACUAAUAUCUUGCUCUAGGAAUGGGAACAAAGGGAUGAUACUGAGGAGGCAGCUGAUACACCAGCCUUUCUGUUUGCUGAAUGCACAAAGGAUUGAUUUAUGGCAUCUUGCCACAGGACAGGCCUAUAGGUUAUUAACCAACUUCAAUGGACAAACACUUGCUGAGACUGCAUAUUAUUCCUCUUGUGCUGUACAAAAGGUAAUGACUCAUCUUCAGGCAUGCCUGAUGUCCUUGAGAAUGCAAUUGGCUCUGCACAGCCAAGUGAAGCAUUACUUAGUUAAUAAACUACAGCAGAAGGGAAACAAUCAGCUGAAACGAUGACAUUGCUACUUCCUGCUUCAUUAUAAAUCUGCAGCUUCCUAACAGGAUUAUAUACUGAAGCACUGCAAAAAAGGACGUUAAGUCCUGUGAUGAAACUUAAAAAAUGUGUAAUUAAAACAGUUAAAUACAGGCUUCUUGUGCUCAGUGUCUACAAAACACAAUCUUUGAUCUUCCAAAUGAUAUUUCUUGGAAAAGCGCUGGACUCAAAAACUAUAAGAAUAGAAUUCUGACUCAUCCCUUCCUCUUGAGGCCAAUUAAAUGUACACUUGCAGUAUAACAAAUUUCGUUUCAUUUCAGACUAGAAAUACAACCAAAGGUAUGAACUCCAAGGCCACCUGCCCCCACGUGUGUUUUCCUGGUCAUUCUGUCCCCUGUUCUUCCAGUUCUAUCUCAAAAUGCAGUAUUCUUGAUGAUUCACCUUGAUUCCUAUUAUUUGGAGAAAGAUCUUGUUUCUUCAAAAGAAAUGAAGGUAACAGAGCAUCUCACCUUUCCUAAUGACAUCCAAGCACCUCUGCAGUGUAAAAAGCCUCCACUAUAAGCAUCUAUUGCUGCAAUGCUACUACAGUUCACCAGGUUUGUUCCAGCUUACUGCUCAGCUAACACCAUCGAUAAAUGUUUUAGUAUUAAUGAACCACGAAAUUUCAAGUAUUUUACUAAUAAAAACUGUACGAGGUUCCUAAAUUAGGUAAUGGGCCACAUCUGACCAAGAUUCCCACAAUAGGCAACAAGCCUCAGCUACUCUCACCUUGCUCCUUCAGCACUUCUCUCACACUUAGCUGGGCAAGCCCCAUGAGAAAAUAAAUACAUAUACCUUCACCACUGUGGCAGGGGAAAAGGACUGUGGAUGGAGGCAGGGAAGAACAAGAGAGAAGGAAAACCCAGGAAAAUUGUCCUUUCCAGUACUAGCCUCACUUUUCAUGUACUUACUUUGGUUUCCCCUUUAUUAGAAAGUUCUUGUGAUUAUUAAUUUUUCCAUGAUCCAUUGCUUAAGGAAGUGAUUGCUUAAGACAGUUCCACAUUUCUUUCCUAAAUGAAAGAGUAAUUGUUCUCUUUAGUCACAGGUUUCACGGGGAGUUGAUGGUGUGUGUGAUUUUCCUGGUGCGUCAUGUUAAUAACACUGAAUUUUUACAUGACUACCUGACUAAAAUGCUUUUGUGCAUCACUCACACGUCUUAAUAAAUAUAUCCAAUCAGUUAUUGUUAGGUGAGCUGGGAGUAAAAUACAAUGAAUACAAAGGUCUCCUCCUGGUCAGAGCACUACAGUCGUAGUUGGAAUAAAGGAAACAAAUUGGGUUUCUGUAUCCACCUUUCUUUCCCCUGCUGUGUUGCCUGAAGAACAACAUACCUUCCAUUAUAUUACUCUCAAGUAAACCCAAUUAAUUUAUUUGCAUUCCAAACAUCUGUCAUGAAGUUGUAGGGCAAGACGCAUGAUUAAACAAAAGUAUUGCACCCAAUAUUUUGAGAUAACCCUCUUUUUACUGGACUCCAGUCUCCCACAUCUAUCUCUAAAAAUGCUAAUUUUUGUUUAAAUGCAAUUACUAAUAAGAUUCAAACAACAUCUUAUUUUGAACGUGCCAAAUUAGCUGCAUAUUUGUGAGGCCCUCCAUAAUUUUAAGGCAAAUCCAAAUUCCCUCUGAUCCUUGGCAAGCAUUUAUAGCCAUGUCUCCUAAACUGCCAAACUGCCUCACAGCUAAAGUGAAGAGCUUCCAGGCUGUGCAAGAAGAAUGUAAGCAAGUACAUUUCUGUGCUGACAAAAAGAGCCAGAAAAGUUUAAGUAAGCAGUCAAUGGUUAAUUCAUUCGUUCAGAUGACUGUCAUCAAGUGAGAGUAUUUACUCAGUUGUUGAAAUAUGCCCAAAUAUUCCUUUGGUAUGCUGGAAUGCUACAAGACUUCUCAUGGGUGUAAUCUAUAUAUAUAUUUAAUAGAUUCAAACAAGUUUAAAGUAUACAAAAUAAAUGGAAAUAUGAACUCCUGGGAACCUUUGGUUCUGUACUUCUUCUUCCUAAGUUUGCUCUUCUUUUUUAUAUAUGCAGAAUACAGACAAAUUAUGUGUUUACAAAUGUAACACGUCCUCAUGGGAAUAGUCAGGUUGUCACACUGCACCUCUUUGGCAAUUCUAAUAUGAGACCAGUGCUACAAGAAGAUUUUAAUAUCCAUUUAUAGGACAAUGCAGAAAGAAUCGUGCCCUGCAGAAUUUACCUCCUAAGGAGUCUUUCUGCUGUGCCUUUUGCAACCAGACGUGCCUGUCUCAUAUUGGCCUUUUUAGCCACCAGUGUGCCUGUAACAGACGUGGGUAGAGCCCUUCCCAAAUCUUCAUUUGCGAAGCCCAGCCACGACUGACAGGUCUGGCUUCAAUUUUCUGAAAGGACAACAGAUCUAUUCAUUUUCAAAAUAAGGGUAACAGGCACUCACACAAAUACUGUGGAACAGUAUGCAGAUUUGUAUCUGAUAUUAUGCUGCAGUAAGCUGGUAUGUACAGAGACAGGUAGCAGUUACAGAAGGCUUUAAUGUCACGUGACAAAAAAAAUCUCAUCUUAUGUACUGAAAUUUUUAUUAAAAUAUCUUUGGACCACUUAAAAGAAAACAUAAUUUAUUGUUUAAUACCAGACGAACAAACUAAAAUCAGCUGUUUCACACAGCAACUUGAGAUUUGCUCCUCAGUGAAGCUUUACAGGCCAAAUAAUUUCAAAUGUCCUGUCACACAGCAGAAGAACUGGUUUCAUAACCCUGUAACAGCAGUAAUCUCAGUUCUUGCUUAUAUAUGGUUACAGAACACACCAUACUUCCAAAUAAUUUCGAAGUCAUUAGUCCCAUUUCCAAUUCCUUAUUCUCCCCAAUCCCAUCAGCUCUCAGUGUCAUUUUGAAUUUCAGCAUUCUGUUACAUAAACGGUGCUGAAAUGGUCACUUUCAGUGUACUUUACACCGGCAACUAAAAUAUUUCAAAACUUUGUAUCACAGCUAUAUUGUUUCCCACCUAAA